UUGUGGUUGAUCCUGCCAGUAGUCAUAUGCUUGUCUCAAAGAUUAAACCAUGCAUGUCUACACACCCUCGUACGGUGAACCCGCGAAAGGCUCAUUAAAUCAGUCGAGGUUCCUUAGAUGAUCCAUUUCUACUUGGAUAACUGAGGCAAUUCUAGAGCUAAUACAUGCAAACCAGCUACGACCCGGUGUCAAAGCCAGGAAAGAGCGCUUUUAUUAGUUCAAAUCCAGUCGGGGCCCCGUCCCUUUUGGUGACUGGAUAACUUUGUGCCGAUCGCAUGGCCUAGAGCCGGGGACGCAUCUUUCAAAUGUCUGCCUUAUCAAAUGUCGAUGGUACGUGAUAGGCCUACCAUGUUGACUAUGGGGAAUCAGGGUUCGAUUCCGGAGAGGGAGCAUGAGAAACUGCUACCACAUCCAAGGCGCGCAACUUACCCCGGGGAGGUAGUGACGAAAAAUAACAAUACAGGAACUCUUUUGAGGCUCCGCAAUUGGAAUCAGCACACUUUAAACCAUUUAACGAGGAUCAACUGGAGGGCAAGUCUGGUGCCAGCAGCCGCGGUAAUUCCAGCUCCAAUAGCGUAUAUUAAAGUUGUUGCGAUUAAAAAGCUCGUAGUUGGAUCUCAGGCAUACUUUGAAGAAAUUAGAGUGUUCAAAGCAGGCUCGUCAGCCUGAAUAAUGGUGCAUGGAAUAACGGAAUAGCACCUCGCUUCUAUUUUGCUGGUUUUGGGCACACGAGUUAAUGAUUAAGAGGGUCAGACGGGGGCAUCCGUAUUGCGGUGUCAGAGGUGAAAUUCUUGGAUUAUCGCAAGACGUACAACUGCGGAAGCAUUUGCCAUUAGUCAAGAACGACAGUCAGAGGUUCGAAGACGAUCAGAUACUGUCGUAGUUCUGACCAUAAACGAUGCCAACUAGCGUUCCGCAGGUGUUGCAUCAUCGCCUCUGCGGUUGCAACUCUGAAAUUACAGGAAUUGACGGGGAUAGCCUCAGGCAACCACCGGCAGAAACCGGAUGAAGUCGGAGGUUUAUUCGGGAGCCGAGGCAUUAGUUAAGAAACAUUCAGUGCCCACGGGGGGGUCCUUUAUGGCCCUACCCAAUAACACUGGGGCAAUAUCAACCAGAAGGAAAGGAUGUAACGGGAAUGAUAUUCCUCUAGCCCUCGGAUGUUCGUACUGCCAGCGAUGGUACGCGGUGGUACCACGGCCGCGACUGUGAGCAAAACCAAGCACAUCGUCGGCAGCCGUUAACAAUACUUGCAGGCUGAGAGGGCAGCCGUGAACUUGAAACGAAGGUCUGGGUGGGAUGCGUCCACCGCCUAUACCCAUGUACCGCUGGCCUGUCGCUUGUGAAAAAGCGUCUUAAUUAGAGACUUAGUCAGCCUAGGGGAGAAGACCCAGAAUUAGAAACCGGGUGUAGCCCGCUAAACAAUCAUUUUUAAUCUAGCUCAAGCUAAAUCACUUUUGCAUGUUAAAGCUUAGGGUUUCCUGAUUUUCACCAGGUCAAGGAAAAGUC
rnacentral:rRNA from 1 species